UACGUAGGGCGCAAGCGUUGUCCGGAAUUAUUGGGCGUAAAGAGCUCGUAGGCGGUCUGUCGCGUCCGUUGUGAAAACUCGAGGCUCAACCUCGGGCUUGCAGUGGAUACGGGCAGACUAGAGUGCGGUAGGGGAGACUGGAAUUCCUGGUGUAGCGGUGGAAUGCGCAGAUAUCAGGAGGAACACCGAUGGCGAAGGCAGGGUCUCUGGGCCGCAACUGACGCUGAGGAGCGAAAGCAUGGGGAGCGAACAGG
rnacentral:rRNA from 1 species